GACCACCGCCCGGGUGCCGACCGAUGGACUGCGGACGCCGGCUGGGUGGAACGACGUCACCGACGCGGAUGGACAGAUUGGCCGGCCACAGGAAGAGACAGUCGGGGGGCCGGGGGCCCAGUAAAGAAGGCGAAACCGAGCUCCUCCCAGCUCCUCAGAGCCUCAACUCAGGAUCUGACUUCUGGAUUCUGCUCCUUUGCCCGGGCACCUCCUUCAGGAAGACUUCUCUAAUCGACCCUGCACAACCGCAGCACCCUCCUCACCUCAAAGGAGCCCCUCACUUGACAGUGGCAAGGGGCUGGGUUCUGGGGAAGUUGCCUCUACUAGGAAUUUAUAUAUUCCCGCAUUUGGCUCUGGCUUACAUGGUACAACUGGGGAUGUUACAAGUCCUUUGAGAUGCAAUCAGGUUAACAGAGCAGCAAACCUUUCCACCGAGAAAAGGAUUUCUCUUUAAAAAUGUCAUUACCAUUCUUAAACAAGUCUCAGCGCAGCUAGGGUCCCCACUUUGGUAGAUGCCGUUGCUGCUCAGUCGAACAGCGGUAGGAGGGCUGUUUGAGGGGGAACAUUGCUCUGAACAAUCCCUGUUUCCCUCGCCCACCAUCUUUGCCCUGUGUGGGUGCCUGCCUGCGGCCCCUCAGAAAGAUAAUGGUCUGCUGGCUCCCAGGGGACACACCUCUUUCUCAGGAAGAGGGGUUGACCACAUAAAAAUAAUAAAUUUUAAAUGAAAGAUUAAAUUGAUUCAAAUUAACUUGAUUCAAAUAUCUUGAUGGUAGACGGAAGGGGGCCACAUGGACUCACACCUAACCUAGAACUUGUAGAAUUCCACAAAAUGAACGCAUAUGGAGUCCGUUCCCUGUUGUAUACAUUCAGGAAGAAUAAACCUCCGUGAUGUGAGACAAG